rnacentral:rRNA from 1 species
CUACGGGAGGCACCAGUGAGGAAUAUUACGCAAUGGGGGGAACCCUGAUGCAGCAACGCCGCGUGGAGGAUGACGCAUUUCGGUGUGUAAACUCCUUUUAUAUGUCAAGAAAAUGACGGUAGCAUAUGAAUAAGCACCGGCUAACUCCGUGCCAGCAGCCGCGGUAAUACGGAGGGUGCAAGCGUUACUCGAAAUCACUGGGCGUAAAGGACGCGUAGGCGGGUUGGAAAGUCAGGUGUGAAAUCCUACAGCUUAACUGUAGAACUGCACUUGAAACUUCUAAUCUAGAGUAUGGGAGGGGGAGAUGGAAUUAGUGGUGUAGGGGUAAAAUCCGUAGAUAUCACUAGGAAUACCUAAAGCGAAGGCGAUCUCCUGGAACAUUACUGACGCUAAGGCGUGAAAGCGUGGGGAGCAAACAGGAUUAGAUACCCCGGUAGCC